AUUGAACGCUGGCGGCAUGCCUUACACAUGCAAGUCGAACGGUAACAGGUCUUCGGAUGCUGACGAGUGGCGAACGGGUGAGUAAUACAUCGGAACGUGCCCGAUCGUGGGGGAUAACGAGGCGAAAGCUUUGCUAAUACCGCAUACGAUCUACGGAUGAAAGCGGGGGAUCUUCGGACCUCGCGCGGACGGAGCGGCCGAUGGCAGAUUAGGUAGUUGGUGGGAUAAAAGCUUACCAAGCCGACGAUCUGUAGCUGGUCUGAGAGGAUGAUCAGCCACACUGGGACUGAGACACGGCCCAGACUCCUACGGGAGGCAGCAGUGGGGAAUUUUGGACAAUGGGCGAAAGCCUGAUCCAGCCAUGCCGCGUGCAGGAUGAAGGCCUUCGGGUUGUAAACUGCCUUUGUACGGAACGAAAAGCCUCUUUCUAAUAAAGAGGGGUCAUGACGGUACCGUAAGAAUAAGCACCGGCUAACUACGUG
rnacentral:rRNA from 1 species